AUUGAACGCUGGCGGCAGGCUUAACACAUGCAAGUCGAGCGGAGUGAUGGUGCUUGCACUAUCACUUAGUGGCGGACGGGUGAGUAAUGCUUAGGAAUCUGCCUAUUAGUGGGGGACAACAUCUCGAAAGGGAUGCUAAUACCGCAUACGUCCUACGGGAGAAAGCAGGGGAUCACUUGUGACCUUGCGCUAAUAGAUGAGCCUAAGUCAGUUUAGCUAGUUGGUGGGGUAAAGGCCUACCAAGGCGACGAUCUGUAGCGGGUCUGAGAGGAUGAUCCGCCACACUGGGACUGAGACACGGCCCAGACUCCUACGGGAGGCAGCAGUGGGGAAUAUUGGACAAAGGGGGGAACCCUGAUCCAGCCAUGCCGCGUGUGUGAAGAAGGCCUUAUGGUUGUAAAGCACUUUAAGCGAGGAGGAGGCUCUUUUGGUUAAUACCCAAGAUGAGUGGACGUUACUCGCAGAAUAAGCACCGGCUAACUCUGUGCCAGCCGCCGCCGUAA
rnacentral:rRNA from 1 species